UAACUAACCGACUAUCAACUAUAGAGGAGCACGUUCUCAGCCGUUCAGAUUUUAAUCUCAACCUAAUCUUUGGCCAUCCAUUUAAUCUAACUUUUAUAUAAAUAACCCUGGCUUCUCCCAUUAUCUCCACCCCAUAGAAGAUGUCGAGGGUGGGGGUCACCUCAGGUUGGAGUUAAGGUUUGGUUAUGGUAUGGUUAUGGUUUUGAUUGUCUAUCUAUGGCUUCGUUACUCUAUCGAUAUUAGGGUUUGGCUUAGUGCUUGUGUACGGAUUUAGGGUUUGAUAUAUGCAGUGGAUCGUCCAUUUACGCUUGGAAUUGUGAUUUAGAUUGGUUCGGCUCUUGUCUCGUUUGGUGUGUGAUAAAUAUCUUUCUUUCGUCCUUGUUACAUAAGGUUUGGACGUUUGGUGUUUUUUGGGGUUUGAUUGCUUAUCUAUUGCUUAGUUCGUCUAUUGGAUUCAUAUACGUUUAGAAGAGUGUGGAUCUGUUUAUGAUCUUUAUCUAUAUCGUUAUAUGCAGAGGAUCGUCAAUUUACGCUUGGGUUCAGAUUAGAUCGGUUUGAUUCUUGAUCGCUAUUUGUGUUUCUUUUUGGAUUAAUUUCCUGUUGUUUCUCCAUCGUUAUCUAGGGUUUCUUUGGUGACUGAUGCUUGGCUAUAUGCGCCCGGGGAUCUAGUUUAUUCCGUUGUUGAAUUUAAUUUAUGGUUGUGGCUGGGCUUUGUCUGGUGUUAUGCAGAUCGUGACUUUGGAUUGAGAUCAAUACAGCGACCUUGGGUAUGGCUUUCUAAGCCUUGUCUUUUUACUUAGGCUGGGACUGACUUGAUCGAAUAACUUAUGUUAGAUCAGAUUUACUGAAUCGAAGUAUUUGUUUCCUCCGAUUCGUGAAGAUUUCUUCCAAUCUUACAUUUUCCUCUCCUCUAGCUCAUUGUGCUCAAGUAUUUGGAUUGAUUGUAUUUAUUCUCCCUCUAUUUUUAGGGUUUUGGAAUUAAUUUUCUUUGUGAUCGUGAGAUUGGUUGGCGGCUCGAGUAUGUUUUUCGUUUCGCUGGAUUAUGAAGGGGGUGUAAAAUGAUUUCUUUCAAAUUCAUAUUUGUUUGUCCUUAGUUUCCUGUGGGCAUUUAACCUUGCAGGGGAGUUGAUUGGACCUAGUAUCCUAGUAUUAUUUCUGUCAGGACUGUUUCUAUCUUCAUCUGCACUUAGGUCUUUGUGAGAUUUUUGGUUCAAAUAUUUGCUUCGGGUUAUUCGAAUGGCUUUUCUGGGUUAUGCUUAUUCGAUGAAUUUCAAGGUCUGCUUUUACUAAAGAUUAGUACCAUAACCUGUUGGUAAAUAUUCUUUUCUAUUCCAUCGUUGUGGGUGAUAUGCUUUAUCAAUUUUUUAUUUUUGCAGAUGAUUCUCAGUUGUUGCAUAUGCUCUGCAUAAGAUCAGACUGUGGUUUAUUUCCACUAAUCUUUGUAUAUGCAGUGUUGCCGAUUGUUGAUUUGCACUUGGGACUUUGGAUUAGUAUUUUGUUCAACUUUGUAGAAGUUCGGAGGUUCUGUUUGAUCUCUUUCAUGUGUUGUCACAGAUUCUAAUUAGAUUUCUUGGUUUAUUAGUGCUCUUUGUACCCAGAAAUAUUUAUACAACAUACAUCUCUUCUCCUUGUGAAAUUUCCAGAUUUAUUUUUUGUGAAGAUUGUUGCUCUUGCCCAUACAUCAUCUUUGUGCAAGGUUGUGCAAGAAGGGUUGAAGUAAAGUCAAAAUUUUAGUUUGUUUGCCUAAUCUUUUUCGUCUUUAUUUGUUUUGCUUCGUUUAUAAUGAAUUUUUAGGUUGUUUUACCGAGUCAAGUUAAAAAAAAUGUGACCGUUCCUCUUCUUGGGUUAUACAUAGCAUCUGCACUCUUAACACUCUCCUCCUCAUUGUCUUUCAAGUAUUUGAAUUGUUUUUUUUCUCCUUCUGGUUCCUAUUAUUUAGGAUUUUGGUAUAUUCUUUCCUGUCUAUGUGAUUUCUAAGCAAUCAAGAAAAUAGUUAAAGGCUUCAGCAUAUUUUCUGUUUGGUGUAGCUGGAUUUUGGACGGCUUGUAGGAUGAUUUAUUUCAUUCCAUAUUUAAUUAUCCUCUCUCUCUUGUGGGCAUUUUAUUUAUGCUGUUUUUAGCAUGUGCGUUUUGUUUGAUAUUUUCAGGCUUUCAACUUUCUUAAGCAUCAACCUUCUUUUCUCGGAUCUAUUUUAACAAGCUAACCUUUGGAGGGGAGUUGACUUGGCCUAGUAUUUUCUUUAAUUGACUUUUUAUCUUUUGCUAUAUCGGUAGCGUCCAUUAAUUUGUGAGAGGUUUUUGGUUCAUGUCUUUUGCUUCAGGGACUUCAUUGAAUUUUCAGGGUUAAGCUUUUACUCGAGAUUAUUUUCAUAUCCUUUUGGUAAAUCCUCUUCAUGCUGCAGUUAACUAAUGUCUUCCUCCUCUCUAGUCCCAGCACUGUGGGUUUCUGUUCUUUCCAUAUAUUUUCCCAGUUCAUUCUCUGUUCUUCAGGGUUGUAUAUGUUUCACUGAACUUGAUAUAUUCAGAGAAUUUCUGAUUUUUGAUAUGAACUUGGGACCUAAGAUUCGUUUUGUAGAAGUUCCAGAGGUUCUGUUCGAUAUAAUUAGUUUAUCGACCUUGGGGUAUGUAUUACAGCUUUAGAUUUGAUUUGCUGAUUCUUCCUUGCAUUUUCUUUUGAAUAACCUACUCGUUUGGACAUGGAAGUAAACUCAUUUUGCAAGGAUCUUACGAACUCGUUUGGUUGGACUUUCUCGUAGAUUCAAUGUUCUCGGUAUGAGGUCAGAUAUCUGGUUCUUUAUCGAUAUCUUUGGUUUAUUUCUCAAUAAUUUUUUAUGUAUGCAGAGAUAACACCUAUGUGUGAACUCUAUUGGUUUCGAUAUAAGGUUAGAUAUUUGGCUCUUAUCAUCAUCCACAGAUGUUUUCCCCCACCAACUGUUGAUUUUCACUGGGAUGUUGCAUGUUCUCUUUUUUCUGUAUGCGAUUGGGACUUUUGGUACAUUGGAUCGGUAUCUAUAAUCCCUUGGAAGAUUAUCUUAUUCCUGGUCAAGCACUUUUUUCAGUUUGAUACUGUGUUGGUGGGCUUAUUUUUUGAUGUGUCCGAUGAGUUUUUUGAUUUGUUUGAUGGUGUCCUAUAGCUUUGGUUCGGACCGACUGGUUUUGUUUUUAGGCUGCAAUCAGGUCUUCUAAGAUAUGCGUUGGGGGAGUGAUAGAAUUAUAGAAACACUGGUGAAUUGCUGAAUUAAAUUUAGUUUGGUGGUGAUACUUCUUUGUUCAAACUGCAUAUGGAGAGUGGAUGAUAUAUCAACAUUUGUGUAUUCUCUAAUAACGGUUCUUCUCUGAUGGGUUUUUGUAUUCGGUUCAAUUAUUGAUUCUCGUUGAAAUUUGUACUCAUUCGUUUGGUACACUAUUGGUUUUAUUUGGUUUAAAUAAUAGUGUCGUCAAUUAGAUUUUUGUUUUCGUUGAUAUGCUGUUGAGAUUGGCAAACGUUUGGACUUUAUGACAAUUUCAAUUUUAAAAUAAAAAUGAAGAUGGAAUAAUAAUUAUAUAUUUUUAAAUGAUAGAAUGGGCAGCUUUCAUGUGUAUUCUUUUCUAGAUAAAUGUCAAAUUCAGUAUUACCGAUUUUCGUAUUACUUUUUUUUUUUCCUUCUAAAUUUUAAAAUUUAAGUUGAUUGUAUAUUAUCCACGUUAAUAAAAAUAAAAAAUCUAUAUUUGAUGCUUGCGUGUACGUGAUUAUAAAAUAAUUUACUGCUAAAUUGUAAAAUUUAAUUUUUAUACUAAUAAAUACAAAAUAAGGUAUGAAAUAAAUAUAAUAAUAUUAAAAUUAAUAAGCUACUUUAUUGAGAUAAAUUGUGAUAUAUUUAUUUUUUUGUAUUUGUUGAAUUUAAAAUAAGUAGAAAAAAAUUCUAUAGGGAAAUAAAUUUUAUUGUUUAAAAUUUAAUAAUGGUUUUCUUGUGAAUUUGUUAAAAUAAAAAGAUAUUUUUUUAAACGGUGAAAAAGAAUAUUUGUAAAGAAAUGAUUAAAAAAAGAUGCGAUGUGAAAUACGGUAUAAAUAAAAAGAUUUAUUUAAAUUUGACAAUUAUAAUGAUUGCUAUUUGGAAGGUUUUUAUAAAAUUAUUUUUUUCACAACCUAUUUUGCUGAGUUUUUAAUUAUUUUGGAAAGAAGUGUUCAGUUUGAGAAAUUAUGUUACAUGGUUUUUUUCUUGGUUUUUAUAAUGUGAAGCUAAGUGUUAUAUUUGGACAUAGUUAUAUAAUGUUGCAUAUUGUUUUUUAUAUAUAUAUAUAUAUAUAUAUUUUUUUUUGUCGGGAGCAUAUUGGUAUACGGAGUUUGUUUGGCAAAACAAAAUCGACUUAAUUAUGUGAAAGUGUUUUUUUUGUUUUUUUUUGUUAAAUAUAUGCAAGUCAAAGUCAAAGUCAAAAUCUAUUUUAUUUUUUAUACAACUUACUUUUUCCAUGUUUGUAUACUAAUUUUACUAUAUAUAUAUAUACAUGUACAUAUAAAUUCUGUGUUCAAUUGUGUAUGCAUCUCUAUUUUGGUUCCAUUAAUUUCUCGGUAUAAUAGAUUUAUGUUUUCCACAUUAGCUGUAAAAAAUUCAGGAAAACUGGUUUUAACUUUUGGUUUAAAAUAUGUUUUGUCAUAAUUUGAUCUUCUGUUUUGGUUAAUAUGCUACUGUGAUUUUUUGUUGCUUUGCUUCCGACUGGACUUCAUUAGGAGAUAUUUAUGUCUAUAAUUCAAAAAACUACUAAUUAAAAUAAAACUGAACUUAUGGAUAUAUUUAAUUUUUAUUUAAACUUAAAAUAAGUAGAAAAUGAUUCCAUUAUUUAAUCAAGUAUUAGUGUUGUACUAGGAAACAUAAUUAAUGAUAUUCAUGUAAAUUUAUUAAAGUAAAAGAUAUUUCUUUAAACGUUAAAAUAAAUAUUUAUAAAUAAUUAAUUUAUUAAAAAGAAGAUGGGAUGAGAAUAUCAGGUAUGAUUAUUAGUAGCGUUCUCUUUUUUUUUACCCUGCGUAGCAAUUAAUAAUAAUAGUCAUUUUUUUAAUGGAGUCAGUUUUUGAAGGUUUAAUAAAAUACUUAUUUUUCAAUUCGUUUAUUUUCAUCGAGUCUUUUUUUGCUGGUUUUUCAAUUUGUUUGAAAGUAGUGUUCAGUUUGAGAAAACAUGUUUACAUUAUUAGUCUAAUUUUGUUAUUCCUUAAUAUUAGGCCAAUGUAAAAUGAAAACGUGUUUCCAAACUAUCUUUAAAUUGUUUGAAUGAGAACAAGUGAAAAUGGAGUCAAGUAAAUAAAUGGAUAUAACAUUUUACAAUUUCAAAGUUUCAUUUAAGCAAAAUUAUUUGCAUAUUGGUAUAUUUAUCUUGAUAAUAAUUUAUAUUACACAAUGCAAAAUUGGAUAAAUAUUUCACUUAUCAUUAAGUUGUGUUAUGUGGAGGUGACAUAUAAUUAUAUAUAUUUAUCUAAUAAAUUAGAUUUUAGGAUGCAACCAAGUUUUAUUCAAUACUUAGUUACCUAUUUUAUUUUAUUUUUAUAUGUAUGUAGUCCAUAAAUUUUAAUAUUUUUGAAGUAUUUUACAUAACAAAGUCAAUAUUUGUUUUAUGUUUUAUACAACGUAUUUUUCUUAUAUUGUUAUAGUAAUUAUUAUGCUUACGUAAUGUACGCAUAUAUUCUGUGCUUAAUUUUUUUAUAAAAUAUUUAUAACUUUUAUUUUGUUUUGUAGGUUCUAGAACUACAUGGAGCUUGAUCCCUUGCUCCCUGCAAGGGUAUGUAGGCAACUUAUUUUUAUAAGCCCAGCUCCAAAAAUUUUAACUUACUAAAGUGAUUAAUUUUUAAAUUUUAUAUUGGUCAGGUUUCUCUUUAUAUUUUUCUAAUUUAAAUUGAUUAUGAUGUUAUAUAUUAUUAAAGGAAUAUAUAUACACAACAUAUUUUCCCUAUAUUUGAUUCUUAUUAUUAAUUAUCUACAGUUUCUUUCCCUCAAUUUUUGACGUAAUGUUGUUGAUCAAGUUUUGCAUGUUUUUCUAUACUUUGCCAGUUCAAUUAUUGGAAGUCUCAAGAUAAAAAUAAAGGGUUUUACAAAAUUACAAUAAUGUAAAAAAAGAACUCACGUUUGCUUUACAUACAAAUAGUUGCAAUAAAUAAUACUGCAAGAAAACCAUAAAAACAAAUAAAGGGGUGUUUGUGUUUUCAAGUAAGUCUUAUUUUUUAGUUUGAUUUGAGAGUAUAUUAACCCCUUUAAAUAUUUGAUUUAAAUACUUGAGUUUUACAUUUCUUUAUUCUAAACCCCUCUAAUUCUACUCCCAUAAAUUCUUUCAACGUUCUUUCCUCGGAUCUACUUAAAGUAUCGAACCUUGCAUGGGAGUUGACUUGGCCUAGUAUUUUCUUAAACGACUUUUAUCUGUUUAUUAUAGCAUCCAUUUGUCUUCAUUGUGCAGUUAACUUAUGUCUUCCUCUUCUUCAUUCCCUGCACUUUAGUUGGAUAUAUUUCAUCAUCUGUUUUUUGGAAAAUGUUUGUAUAUGCUUGCUUUAUCAACAUUUUUUAUUAAAGAUGAAAAGAAAGAUCUACUGAUUUGAACAUGAAACAACAUUGUAAAAACUCAUUUGUUAGGAACUUGUUUGGCUGGACGUUCUCGGGGUAAGCUCAAAUAUUUGCAUCUCGAUUGUAGCCUCGUAGGUUGUAUGUUCUAGAUCUAAGGCCAGAUAUUUGGUUCUUGAUCGAUAUCUUUUUCCAGAACUUCUGAUGAUGUAUGUAGAGUAUGACGACACCUAUUUGUGAACUCGUUUGGUUCUCAGUAUAAGGAUAGAUAUUCCCACAACUUUUGAUGUAAAGUUGUUGAUUUACGCUUAGGUCGUUGAUGUGCAUCUUUAUGUGUUUUAGAUUUUGGUACAUCAGAUUAGUAUCUAUUAUCCCUUGGAAGAUUAAUCAUAUUCCUGAUCAAGCUCUUUUUUCAAGUUUUAUACUGUGGUGUUGGCAGAAUUAAAAUUUGUUUGGUGGUGAUACUUUUUUGUUCAAACUUCAUAUCAAUUCUGUUGUGGGUGUUGUUGUGUUGCUGCUAUUGUCUAUUCUUUGUUAUUAAAUCUGCUUCUGAAUGGUUUUGUUGCACAUAUUUGGUUUUCUGUCUUUGGUUAUUGAUACUCUGAAGUUGAACUCUGUACUAAGAUAUACUAUACAUUAGUGUGAUGGUGUACUUUGUGUUCUAUACGUUUGAUUUUGUCCUUUGUACUAUAAAUUAGCUAUGUGGGGGUCACAGGUUUUGUUUAGAUUUCGCUGUAGAUUGAUGUACUCUUUCUACGGAAAAUAUUUAUAGAACAUAUACAUUUUCUCGUGAAAUUUUCAGAUUUAUUGAAUCUAAUAUUUUAUUUCCCUGAUUUUCUGUGGGGAUUUUUGCUUCUGACCAUACGUCUUUGGAAUUAAUGACAAAAUUUCAGUUUGUUUUGCCAAAUCUCUUUUACUCAACAUUAGUUCUAGGUCUUAAUCACAGGGGCUCUUAUGGUUGGACAGAAUGUUUGAUAUAAAUUUUUUAAUAUUUUUAUAGUGAAAGUCUUUAGCAAGCUUUUAAUUUCAUUUUUUAAAUGAAUUUUCAGGUUGUUUUGUUGGAUGAAGUUAAAAAAUUGUGGCCUUCCAAUUUUUUGGGUUUGAGAUAGCGGCAUCUUUAAUCUUUCAUUGUUUCUCUCCUUUUGCUCAUUGUGCUCAAGUAUUUGGAAUGUUUUCAUUUCUUUCUGCCUCUUUAUUUAGGGUUUUGGAAUGACUUCUCUUUCUAUGUGAUGAUCAAGAGGGUGGUUCAAGGCUCGAGUAUAUUUUUGUAUCAUUGGAUUGUGGAAAGGCUCUAUACUUCCUGAACAAGCAUUUAACCUUGGGAGGAGAGUUGACUUGGCCUAGUAUUUUCUUUCAAAACUUUUUGUUAUUUGUAUCUUUUGCAACUUCAGUCUUUUGAGAUUUUUGGCUCAUAUCUUUGCUUUGGGUUGUUGAGUGACUUUUCUGGGUUUCGAUUGUUCGGUGAAUAUCAGGGUCUGCUUUUACUCAAGAUUAUUAACAUAGCCUGUUGGUAAUUUCUUUUUUAUUCCCAGCGCUGUUUCAAUUUUCAUUUUUACGGAUGAUUUUCACUGGUUGCAUAGGCUCUACAAUGUCGGACUACCAGGUUCUAUUUAAAUUUCUUGGUUUAUUGGUACUACACAUAAUUAUUCGUACAACAUAUGCUUCUUGUGAAAUUUCCAGAUUUAUUGAAUUAAAACUUUUUGCUUCCUUGUUUCUCUGUGAAGAUUUUUGCUCCAGCCUAUGCAUCUUUAUGCUUGGAGGUUGUGCAAGAAGGUUGGAAGUAAUGUCAAAGUUUAAAUUUGCUUUGUCUUGCUUAUCUUUUGAUUAUUCUAUUCAUUAAUUGUGUCAAAAGUAUUUGAAUUGUUUGCGUUUUUAUUUUUGCAGAUGAUGCCUACCUUCUGGAUUUAGGGAACUGUAUUUUGAAUUUUGUUAUUAUUUAUUCAUUAAAUUGCGUUUAUAUUGAAUUGCUUUUCGACAAUAUUUUUAGGGUAUUAUUUCUUUCCAGGUGAUAUCUAGAGACGAUAGAGAGUGGUUCAAGGCUUGAGUAUACCGUUGAAUUGUGGAGGGGUGUGGAAUGAUUUCUUUCACUUCAUAUUCAUAUUCAAUUUGUUUGAUAAUUUCAGGCUUUCCACUUUCUUUCAUUUUGUUUGAUGUUUUCAGGCUUUAACUUUUGUAAAUCUUCUUUUGUUGGAUCCCAUUUAAACAAGCCUUUAAGCUUGCAGGGGCAUUGACUUGGUGUGGUAUUUUCUCUAAACAAAUUUUUAUCCUUUGCUAUAUAUUUGUAGCAUCCAUCGAACUGUGAGAUUUUUGGUACAUGUUUUUGCUCUGGGUCGUUCAAUGAAUUUUCAGGAUUCAGCUUGUAGUCAUUAUUUUUAUAACCUUUGGGUAAAUCCAGUAUGCUUUAGUCUUCAUGUUGCAGUUAACUUGUCUUCCUCUUCUCCAUUCCCAGUUCUGUGGGUUAGAUCUGUUGGAUUGUGCUUCUUAUCAACAUUUAUUUUCCCAGAUGAUUCUUCGUGAGUGGAUAUGUUCUGUAUGAGGUCCGACUAUUUGUUUUUUACUAAUUUAACAUGUGCAAAGCAUUGCCAAUUCGCUGGGUGUUAUCUGUUAUGUAUUUCAGCUUUUGGUUGGAUGCUGGGUGUUCUCGGUAUUAGGUCAUUAUUGUCUUUGGUAGUACUCCAUAUCAUUAAGUAUGCAGAGCAUUGCAAUCUUUGUUUAUGAACUUGUUUGCUUCUCAGUGUAAAGUCAAAUAUCUGGUUCUUAUCAUUACGUGGUUAUUUGUUUGGGACUUUGAUAUAUUGGAUCAGUGUCCUUAAUCACUUGGAAGAUUAACCUUUUUCCUGGUUGAGUUCUUUUUUAAAUUGAUACUGUGAUAGCAGACUUGAUUUUUGGUGUGCCUAACUAGUUUCUUUAUUUGUUUGAUGGGGUCCUAGAUUUGGUUCGGACUGGUUUUUAUGCUGCAAUAAUCUUCAUGGUUGUGCCUGAACUACAGAUGGUGGUGCUGUGCUGUUGGGAUAUCUAGUAUUUUCUGUUGUUCCAUCUGCUUCUGAAUGUUGCUGCUCCCAUUGUUCUUGCAAGUGUUUUGUGGAACGUAGUAUCUAGUUGUGAAUGUCUUUAGCUAUCUUAUUUUCUUAUUUUUGUUAAGUGAUUUUUCAGAUUGUCUUUCAGAAUCAAGUUAUUUGAAACUGUGGCUUCUCAUCUUUUUGGGUUUGACAUAUCAUUUUCAUUCUUACAUUUACCUCUCCUUUUGCUCAUUGUGUUCAAGUAUUUGAUUUGUUUGAUUUUUUUUCUUGUUCUGUUUUUUGUGUUUCAGUAUAUUCUUUCUUUCUGGGUCAUUUCUAGGUGAUCGAGAGAAUGGUUGGUGGCUUGAGCAUACUUUUACGUAUUGUUAGUGUGGAGAGAGUAUAAAAUGAUUUCUUUCUAUUCAUAUUCAAUUAUUCUCGCAUUCUUUUGUAUGCUUUAUAAAUGUGCAUGCAUUUUGUUUGAUACUUUCAGGCUUUCAUCAUUCUUAUUUUCUCUGGUUCAUUUACACAAGCAUGUUGACCUUGCCUGGCAUUACCCCGUGAGAUUUUUGGUUAAUGUCUGUCUUUCUCUAUUCCACCUCUAGGUUUGAUAUGUUUCAUCAUCAAAUUUUUUUAUUUUUCUUUUUAGAUUUUUAUGCUUGUUCAAACAUUUACAGAUGAUGCUCCGUGGUUGCAUAAGGUCAGAUAUGUGGUUCAUAUUCAUAUAAGCAGAGUAUUACUGAUUGAUUUGCACUUGCUAUAAUUUUGACGUAUUAGUGAUUUUUUGGUGGGUUAACUAUGUGGGUUUUGUUGGCACGUAAAUGAUUUAUAUAGAUGAUGCCGGUGGAUUCAAGUCCAACAACCAACCACGGGGUAUUGACGAACUUAAAUGAACUGGCUAUAUUUUUUCUCUGAACUUGUACUUAAAUUGACAUACUCAUUUUGUAAUUUGUAAGGAUGUUGGUUAUUAAUUAAACUCUCAACUAUGUUGUAAAUUUGUUUGGUUGGAUCUUCUUGGUGUAUGGUCAGAUAUCAGGUUCUUGAUUGUAGGUUGGACUUUCUCGAUACAAGGUUUGAUAUUUUGUUUUUGAUCAUCAUGUCUGGUUUAUUUUUGCUCAACUUUUUAUGGUUGCAGAGCAUCACCACUCAAGAACACAGCUAUAUUGUUACUCUUUUGGCUGGAUGUUCUCGGUAUAAGGUCAGAUAUUUGGUUCUAAUCAUUAUCUACAGUUUAUUUUGUCGUAGCUUUUGAUGUAUGUAGAGCAUCACCAAUUGUUGUACACUUGAGAUCUGCAUGAGCAUCCAUCUGGAACUUUGGUACAUUGGAGUAAAAUCUUUUAAGGUUAUGUUCUGUUCACAACUUUCAACUUGGAGAUCUGGGUUGAUACCUAUAGUCAACCGUUGGGUAUGCUUCAGUUUUUAGUUUUGGAGAAGUUGGUUUAGUAUUCCAUUUUUCUUUUUCUUCAAAUCUAUUAGUAGUUGGACUUGGAACAACAUUGCAGUUCUUAUGGAGACAGCAAGCAUGGUUUAUACCACAAUCAUUUUAGGUGGUCCAAGUAUGCUUUUCCAAAUUAAAAUUAGAAGUUGGCCUUUGAUUUAUGGAUGGUUGAAAUAUAGCAUCUUCAACUUCUCUUUAUGUGUUAACAACUUAAAAUACAAGGCUUAAAGUAUGUCUAUUUGUAUAUAUGUUCUCAUUUAUCCAGGCUCGUCUUUCAAAAUGUCUAGACUAUUGGAGGGUAUAUUCAACCGGGCCUAGUAUGUACUAGACAUAUCUGAUGUUGCUUAUCUUUGUCGAAUGAGUUUUUUGAUCUGUUUGAUGGUGUCCUAGCUCUGGUCCAGACUUGUUUGUAGGCCGCAAUAGUCUCAUGGUCGGGGGAGUUUUAUAUUUAAAGAAAACUGGGGAGGCUCUGUACAGUUGAUAUUUGUACUAUGUUAUGCAGUCAUGCGACUGUAGUGUUUAUUUAGUUGGUUGUUUUAUGUUAUAUGACUGUCGUAUAGACAUUGGAACUGCUAUGGUGUCAUGUUAUUCGAGCUACGUUUGUGUGGUGCACACAUGAUGUUUAGAGUCGUCUUAUGAUUUUACUGUUUUGAGUUUUUCAUCGUUGUAUGCAACUUUAAUAUGUAUGUGUAUGGUUUGUAUAAAUUGUGUUAAUAAUUUCAUGCCAGCGUUUUUUUUUUCUUUUUGCAAAAUUUAUGCGGAGUUGUAUCUCUAUUUUUGUUCUGCUGACCGUUAUUUUCCAAUAUCGAUGUGUUUUGAAAUAAUUUUCAUUUAAUCACUUGGGUAUUUUCUUCACGACAUGUAGAUGCAAGUUUUCAGGAUUAUGAGAAUUUUGGCAAUUUAAAUUUCACAUUGUCAUUAAAUUUGCAAAAUCGUUGUGUAUCUUCAGUAUUUGGGCUUCUAUUAACUAACAAUAGAUAUAUUUUUUUUUCGUUUCUUUAUUACCAGGUUUCUAAGGUGGUGUAUGCUUUUUAAAAUUACAAUUAAUUAAACAUUGACCUUUGAUUUUUGGGUUGUUUAAAUGUAGCAUCUUUAACAUUUAGGUUUGUUUGUUCCUUUGAUUAUUUCUUUUUGUCUAUGGUUUCAUGUAUUGUAGUCAAACUUGGCCUAAACGUCUACCUCUUUGUUAUUGCCCAUUGAUUUUUUCAAUUUGUUUGAUGGUGAUAUAAUAACGUUCUAUGUGAUGAGGAUUCUGAUUCUUAAAGGUUUUGUUGUACAUAUCUUCUUGGUAUCUUAUUCGUGCUUUUGAGGUUCGAGUUUGUUACCAUAAUCGAUGUACUUGAUUUUGGGUUUUCUUAUGAAGUAUUAUAUAUACACAUAUAUAUAAAUAUAUACAUAUUAGAAUAAUAAUUUAUGUAAAAAUUAAAAGAAUCAAGGAGUGCGUUUUAGUAAAAAAUUAUUCAGAAUGGACUCGUAUUUAAAAACAAAUAACAGAAAACAUUAUUUAAAAGAAAAUCAUGGGGCAACCUUUGUUGGGUCCGUCACGCUAUUGACAAAUAUGCUGCAUUGGCCCCAAAGGGUAUAUAUUAUGUUUUAGUUUAUAUAUUUGAAUAACUGAACUGGCUAUACUGUUUGUGGUGCACUCUUGAUGUCGUCUUGUGAUUGUAAAUGUUAGGUAAAUACACAAAUAAACCACAUGUUACUCCGAACCAAGUAAUAUACUAAUCGAUACAAGCCUAAGCCCUUUUACCAAGUUUUACCUACUAAACUGGUUCCAAGCUCAACAAGUAACCAUACAGAUUGGUAUGUAUAUUUUUUAGUUAUCCGGGAGUUUAUGUUUCACACAAAACAAAAUCGGGUAAGUAUUCUGUUUCAUAAGUUUUCUGAAAAAGAUUAGUAUAAUUGAAAGUUUCUUAUGGGGCUGACCUUCCAUUGUUUAUUUUGGCCUUGAUAAUAUUACUCGAAACCCCUUUUGUAUCCUCCAUUAUUUUCUGUUGUGUUAAGACAUAACAAAUAACACUACAAAAUUUAGCAAAUUAAAUAUCAUGCUAUACAUGUGUACGAAUAUAUUUCAUGUUUCAAUUUUUAUUUUCUUGUGUAUAAUAUUUUUUAACUUUGUAAUGGUUUUGCAGAUUUUAAGAACUGCAUGGAGCUUGAUCCUGUAAAGGGUAUGUAGGCAACUUAUUACAAGUGCAGCUCCAAAAAAUUUUAACACUUCAAAUCUAAAAUUGAAAUGUAGAUUUAUUGGCAUAAAUAUUUUAUUUUUGCAUUUUUCACAUUUUUUUUAAAUAGCAAGUUCUUAAUGUUCCAUGUUA